rnacentral:lncRNA from 1 species
UGAGUACAUAGCUGUGAUUGGCUUAGAACUCGGAGAUCUGCCUGCCUCUGCUUCCAAAGUGCUGAGAUUCAAGGCGUGUGCCUCAGUUCUUCAGAGGUUAACUUACUACACUUGAGUAGAGUGGAGUGCAAAACAGAACCUUUCUGAUUUGGCCAAGACCUUGUCUGUCUGCCUUUCUGCUAGCUGAUCCUAGCUGUCCAGUUUUCUCCUAGCCCUUUGCCCAGAAAUUUGCAAGGAAUGAUGGGAGUCCAUAGACUAGCAAGUGCUGCUAAAGUCCAGUGGCUUCUACCCUUUCUCCUCAUUCCUGUCAUCUUCCUAGAGCCUCUUCUAUGAAGUGGGAUGGCAUAGCUACUGUGCCAGGAUCUCCAGGGGCAAACUGCCCCUCAGAGUUCAUGCACACUGAGGGAUGACAGCUCACAGCAGAGGAACAAGGCAUGUGUGAAGAUGCUCCCUCAGUGGAAGUCUGAGUUGUCCUGCCCCGGGCCCUACUGUCCUGACUUCUGCAAACCGCCUAUGGGACAGAUGAAUUGGCCCAAGCCCUUGGUCAACAGGACGUUAAGGACAGAGUCCUGAAAAAUAGAAGACUAGUAAAAUAGCAUUCUGUGCUGAUCAACUAACCUUAUUUUCAAAGCUCCUAUGCAUAUUUUCUGUCUGUCCAUUAUGAUUUUAAGAUAAAGCCUUGGUGUAUAACAC